UAGGACCUACGGGGCGCAGCAGUGAGGGAUAUUGGUCAAUGGGGGAAACCCUGAACCAGCAACGCCGCGUGAGGGAAGACGGUUUUCGGAUUGUAAACCUCUGUCCUCUGUGAAGAUAAUGACGGUAGCAGAGGAGGAAGCUCCGGCUAACUACGCGCCAGCAGCCACGGCAAUACGUAGGGAGCAAGCGUUGUCCGGAUUUACUGGGUGUAAAGGGUGCGUAGGCGGCUUUGCAAGUCAGAAGUGAAAUCCAUGGGCUUAACCCAUGAACUGCUUUUGAAACUGCAGAGCUUGAGUGGAGUAGG
rnacentral:rRNA from 1 species